rnacentral:rRNA from 1 species
UACGGGGGGGGUAAGCGUUGUUCGGAAUUACUGGGCGUAAAGGGCUCGUAGGCGGCCAACUAAGUCAGACGUGAAAUCCCUCAGCUUAACUGGGGAACUGCGUCUGAUACUGGAUGGCUUGGAUUUGGGAGAGGGAUGCGGAAUUCCAGGUGUAGCGGUGAAAUGCGUAGAUAUCUGGAGGAACACCGGUGGCGAAGGCGGCAUCCUGGACCGACACUGACGCUGAGGAGCGAAAGCCAGGGGAGCAAACGGG